GUUGAAGGGCAAGAAGGCUGUCAAAUUUAACUUAUUUUCUUUUUAACCGUAUUCAUCUUUAGGACUGUUGCUUGAGGAUAGUGUGAGUAGGAAUGUUUGUUUUUCUGUUACUGGGAAACUAGGCUUGCUGAAGGGUGUAGUCUUAAACUAAAAUGAAAUUUGAUGUUAUCAGUUGGUCCUCUAUAGCUCAAAUAUUUGAAAAUUGGCAGCAUCUCCUUCAUAUAAAGAAACUUACAUAACUGAAUCACAUGACUGUUUUGGUGUUCAGUUUAAAUGAUUAUUUGGUAACCACUUCAUUUGGCCUAGCCAGUGAUAAUUAGGAGAAAUUCAGCUUAUACUCCUGUAGCUUAUAUUAAGCUUGUGAAAAGAAAACAAACUUAGCCUGAGUUAUUUUUGCAGUAAGUAUAAAGGAUAAAUUAUGGAUAACCUAUAAAUCAUUUUUCACGAGUGAAUACUAAACCAUGCAUUUCAAAACAGGAGUUCUUUUUACUCAGGUUUAAGGGUACUAACUAGAUGCAGUGAUAUCCAAUUUGGGGCUGUUAUAUCCUAGAGGACAUUGGAAAUGUGUGAGAUUUUGAAAGGUGUUGGAGGGGAACACUGCGUUUGGCAUUUAGUGGGUAGAGAUCAACAAUGCCACAUGUUCUGUAAAAAUGAAGCAACUGCAUUAAAAACAGUUUCUACUUCUAUAAAUGUGUGAUGGGCAGAGCAGUGGAUUACAGCUAGAGUUGAAGACUCAUUCCUUUGCAAUAAAGCUUCAGAUAAAUAAUAAAAAUAAACGAAUUAGCAAAUAGAUAGCUCUUUCAGCAAUUAUAGUAACAUUUAUUAUAAGUUAUGUAAUUUUCCUUCAUUUGUACCAAAUGUGGUUUAAAAAGUUUUUGGAGAAGGUAGCAUUAUGCUGGAUGCUGCUUGUAACUUGUUGCAGGGAGUUAUUGUAUAAUCACAGAAAACGAAAGUUCACUUCAGUAACUUCAGCUCAUUAGAAUUUGGGCGAUUUUGAAUAGCACAGGACUUUUAUAUAUAGUAUUUAGCAUCAUAUUUUAACACUAUAAAAAUCCUGGUAUCUUUGUUUCCAUUAUUACUGAUUUAAUAAACAUGAUACUGUAGAAAUAUAUAUAUUCGCACAGGUAGAAAGUGAAAAUAAAAUAAAGCAAGAUUUUUCUAUAGGCAGCAUUGGCUCAUAUUCAACCUUUUCACAUUUUAAAAUACAAUUUUUUAUUUCUAGGAAUGGCCCAGUGUCUAGUUCUUUUCUACUGAGCUUAACACCCUUCACUUAUCUAGUAUCUUACUAGGUAUAAGAUUAGUUCAGUGUGCAUCUUGGUUUUUUAAGACUUGUUGAAAAUAAAUACACUUGGGUCUUAAAAAAAAGUACUUUUAUUUGCUUUUAUGGUGAGGUUGGUCUUGACUUGUGUAUGCCUGUGUUCUCAACUUUUUGAGCUUUUGCUGGGGAGCAGUGAAAAGAAUAAUUCAAAAAUAAUUAUUUGAGUAGGCUACUGCACAGUAUUAGUUGGUUUGCACUUUAGGUUGGAAAAAUAAUUUUCACUACUCUGGAUUAGGUACUAUUUUCCUCAAAGUAAUAGAUAAAGGAGAAAUGGCAUCAGAGCAGCUAUGUGACUAGGCCUCCAAACCAUGUAGCAAGGAGCAGAUUGACCUCCGAAACUGAUGCUUUUUCUCAAAAACCCAAAUGCCUACAUAUCUACAUUUGAAUGACAUAUUAAGAUACAGGAUAUGACCAUAUAGAAACCAGGGUCUAUAAAACAUAACAAGGUUAGCAUUUCUGUUCUUCAUUUCCUUAGGCUAAAUAACAUAAUUAAAUGAUUUGUAUAGGGCUUCUUUUGAUUUACAGACAUUUGGUAAUAAUAAUGACUUUUUAGAUUAAUUUCUUACCUGAUUUGAUAAUACAUUUAGUACAGUCUUGAAAUCUGUAAGUGAAUAAUAUUUUUAUCAGAGCAUAAUCCAGGUGAGUUUUUUGCAGUUAUGUUUUGUGCUUAUAACUGCCAUCCUCUGAUACUUUCUUCAUCCUUUUAUUUGAAAAUCCUUGUAUAGUGUAAUGAGUUAGUGGAAAAUGAGGCACUUUAUAGAAAACAAUUUGUUAGAAUCUAUAUGGAAAUAAUCUUCCUAUGAGGUUUAAAAUUGUAGACCAUUGUUUAUGCUGAGUGGCUUAUUUCUUUUAUGUAAAUGGUUGCAUUUGUCAAACCUACUGAUCUAAAGAUCUUUUAUAUUGAAGUUUUAUUUUUGUGCUACUUAAAAUAAUUUCUGCAGGAACUACGUACAGUUAAGCAAUCUUGAACUUUGAAAAAGAAGCAACUUCAACAUUUAUUUGAAUAUAAGGUUCUAGCUAACUGCCUAAUUAUUAAAAAUGGACAUUAGAUAAUCAUGGUAGUCUUUCACAAAUGUUUAAAAACCUUAGGAAUGAAUGUUAGCAACUUAGCAAUGUCUUGUGUGGGAUGAGGUUGUAGAUUUAACUUGAUGAUCAAGCAAAAUGUUGGCUAUUUGGUACUAGAUAAUUAGGUAAGGAUUUCUGCUUUAAAUUUCCUCUUGGGAUUUGCAUUUGUAUACUGUGAUAUUGAAGUUCUGGGGACCAUAAACAGGCUUAUAAAUUCUUACUAAAGGGAAAAUGGUGGCACCUGUUAGAUAAAACUUUCACUUAUAUUCUUUUUAGUGACUAUGUAUCUAGCUCAGAAUAAUGCUGAAAUUAGACCACUUUGCUUGUGCUUUCAUGAAACAGUCUCUCAUCGUGACCUGAAUGAAUAAAGAGUUGAUUAGAGGUGGCCUAAAAGCACUAGUUUUAUUUUAGUUUUGAUUUACGCUAAAGUAUGGCUUAGAAUAAAGGUUGUUCGCUUUUUGAUUAUGUGACUUAUUUUGAAAACCUUGGGCAGUCUUUUCUCCAAUUUCCACUUGAACCUGGUAGCUUUUUUUUUUAGUUCCCUGGGAAAAGAAAAUAGUAUUGGAAGUCAGUUCCACUAUUCCAUAAACCAUGUGACCUGGCCAACUAGAAAUUCAUAUGUUUUGCACUUUGAAGUGUGGCCUAUGCCACAGAUGCCAAGGGACUUGCAUCUACCCAUUGUGUCUUUUCUUAAAAAAAUAAAAUUAAGGGAUGUUUACCAAAAGUUUACUAUUGAAUUAUUUUAACAAAAUAUUUUUUUGUAAACCCGCUUUGGGAAGUUUGCUAUACUUUUUGGUGUUAAUUUCAGGGAUGAUCAUAUCUUAUUUAAUCUGGAUACAAGCAAUUUUAUUGUUAUAAUUAACCAUUUUGGUUACUGGAACUUUCCCCAAGCUUUUUAGAAUCACCUAUUUUACUUUGGAUUUUAUUUAAAUUCUUAAAUGUCUUUCUGAAGAUUGUGUAUGUAUACUGAUUUGGCCCUUUUGAAUGAAGACAUACUGAGAAGCUGGCAUAAGGGAGUAGGGAGAAGAAAAGGACUUCAUUUAAAGAGUCAGUGCAUACUUAGAUUGUAGAACAACUCUUGUUAAAAGUAAAUUAAUAUAGGUAGUUGUUAGAUUUUGAAGAUGAUUCAGGUGCAGGUGGAACUUAGCUGUUGGUAUAGGAAUCAUUUUGUGAUUUAUAAGAAAAAAACCAUAAUUUUUAAAUGAGAAACAAUUGAAUGUUUCCUGACAAGAUUUCUUCUCAUUCUGAUUAUUAGCACAAGAAACAGAAGAGCUCCUAGAAUUCACUGAAUUAUAGAAAGCUGGAAAGGACUAAAAUGAUUUGUAUAACACCUUCAUUUUUCCAAAGAUCUAGGUACUCGGAGAAUUGAUUAUUGGUACCGAUUCCCAGAUUGCCUUGUAGAAGUAACAUGGAGGGGAUUGCUAGUCCUCCCUAGGCUGGCUGAAAGUCUGGAUAUGGGAGAAAGGGGAAGAAGCCACAUUUUACAUGCUCACUCAGUUGCUCCUCUGUAGCUCAGUUUUCAUACCGAGGUUUACUCCAUUUCCUUAGAACUCUCUUAAUGCCUGUUGAAGGACAUUAACAUGUGUUCCCCUCAGGGAUGGGUUUACUACUAGCUGUCAGAAAGCUAUUGGGUAUCCUAAUGUGUUAAUAGCUGAAACUCAGCUGUAAUUUUCUCCUAAAUCUGUCAGCAUUUUACAUUCUGUACAUUGUGGUGCUUUUUCACCUUGUAUUGUUAUAACUGUAAGCUCCUAAGGGGCAGCAAUUUGGUCUUAGGCAGGUACCCUGUUCAGUGCCUGGCAGUGCCAUGUGUGUAUCAGGGUCCUAAUCUUCCUUUCCAGUGAUUUCUCCCAUUCUUCGUGGAAGUGAUGCUCCAGCCAUCCUGAACUACUCCUGGCUCCCCUGAGAGGCCAGGCAUUGCAACUCCAUGGCUUCAAGUUCCUCUCUCUUCCCUGAAGAUACACUUGCAUCUGCUUUCCCCUGUCCAGAUCCCUUGUCAUGGAAGUCAUUUUUUUGAAGAUCCAGUUCAAGAACUAAUUGUUCUUUUUCCUCGAGAGAGAGAAAAUGUGCAACAGGAGCGGGGAACCUUUAUUUGGUGGUUGAUCUGGCCAGAAUUUGAAAUGAGGAACAACAAACUCAUUCCCAUCUUCUUUCCUUCCACAUUGUCUCUCUUGUUUGACAGUCCCUAUCUUCAUUUUUAAAAGAUAUGUUCCUAGAGCACUUUAUACCUUUCUCCUAGCUGAAAACUUAAGCCUUCAACCUGGAAUUAGAAUGACCUGUAUCAGUUUUACUACAUCAUUAGACCACGGCUCCGAGAGAACAGACUGGGAAAUUAAUUCCUGCACUCCACCGAAGUGUCCAGCUAAGUCCUAUCAGUUCUACCUCAGCAGUCUUUCACAUCUCUUUUUCCACACUGGGAUAAUUUCAGUGGCCUAGCUUCCUUGACCUCUUUUUACCCCAGCCUACUGAUACCCCAUGCUAGAUUCAUCUUGCUGAAACAGCUCUAUGGUCCCAUGUAUGUGUUCUAUCUCCCCUGCUAGACUGUAAGCUCCUGAUGGGCAGGAUCUGUGUCUGAGUCAUUUGUAUCUCCCUAGUGCACAUAUCAAUAAAUAUUUCUUGAAUUAAUA